AGUGAACGCUGGCGGUAGGCCUAACACAUGCAAGUCGAACGGCAGCACAGUAAGAGCUUGCUCUUACGGGUGGCGAGUGGCGGACGGGUGAGGAAUACAUCGGAAUCUACUUUUUCGUGGGGGAUAACGUAGGGAAACUUACGCUAAUACCGCAUACGACCUACGGGUGAAAGCAGGGGAUCUUCGGACCUUUCGCGAAUUCAUGAGCCGAUGUCGGAUUAGCUAGUUGGCGGGGUAAAGGCCCACCAAGGCGACGAUCCUUAGCUGGUCUGAGAGGAUGAUCAGCCACACUGGAACUGAGACACGGUCCAGACUCCUAGGGGAGGCAGCAGUGGGGAAUAUUGGACAAUGGGCGCAAGCCUGAUCCAGCCAUACCGCGUGGGUGAAGAAGGCCUUCGGGUUGUAAAGCCCUUUUGUUGGGAAAGAAAAUCAGCAGGUUAAUACCCCGCUGUUCUGACGGUACCCAAAGAAUAAGCACCGGCUAACUUCGUG
rnacentral:rRNA from 1 species